rnacentral:rRNA from 1 species
GAUGAACGCUGGCGGCGUGCCUAAUACAUGCAAGUCGAGCGAGCAGACGAGGAGCUUGCUCCUCUGACGUUAGCGGCGGACGGGUGAGUAACACGUGGAUAACCUACCUAUAAGACUGGGAUAACUUCGGGAAACCGGAGCUAAUACCGGAUAACAUGUUGAACCGCAUGGUUCAACAGUGAAAGACGGUCUUGCUGUCACUUAUAGAUGGAUCCGCGCCGCAUUAGCUAGUUGGUAAGGUAACGGCUUACCAAGGCAACGAUGCGUAGCCGACCUGAGAGGGUGAUCGGCCACACUGGAACUGAGACACGGUCCAGACUCCUACGGGAGGCAGCAGUAGGGAAUCUUCCGCAAUGGGCGAAAUCCUGACGGAGCAACGCCGCGUGAGUGAAGAAGGUCUUCGGAUCGUAAAACUCUGUUAUUAGGGAAGAACAAAUGUGUAAGUAACUAUGCACGUCUUGACGGUACCUAAUCAGAAAGCCACGGCUAACUACGUG